UGCGUAGGCGGACUAAUAAGUCAGUGGUGAAAUCUCUCGGCUCAACCGGGAAACUGCCAUUGAUACUGUUAGUCUUGAGUUCGGUUGAGGUAGGCGGAAUGUGUAAUGUAGCGGUGAAAUGCUUAGAUAUUACACAGAACACCAAUUGCGUAGGCAGCUUACUAGACCGACACUGACGCUGAGGCACGAAAGCGUGGGUAGCGAUCAGGAUUAGAUACCCUGGUAGUCC
rnacentral:rRNA from 1 species